rnacentral:rRNA from 1 species
AAAGGGUUAAGCAGCAGAUUCAUUUUCUGCCACCGAAUACAUUAGCAUGGGAUAAUGGAAUAGGACCCUGUCCUCCUAUUUUCAGUUGGUUUUGGCAGCGCGAGGACUAGGGUAAUGAUUAAUAGGGAUAGUUGGGGGCAUUAAUAUUUAAUUGUCAGAGGUGAAAUUCUUGGAUUUAUGAAAGAUUAACUUCUGCGAAAGCAUCUGCCAAGGAUGUUUUCAUUAAUCAAGAACGAAAGUUAGGGGAUCGAAGACGAUCAGAUACCGUCGUAGUCUUAACCAUAAACGAUGCCGACCAGCGAUUAGGAGACGUUGAAUACAAAACACCACCAUCGGCGCGGUCGUCCUUGGCGCGUUCGUGUUCACGCACGGGCGCGCGAGGGCGGUUUAGCCCGGUGGCACCGGUGAAUGACUCCCCUAGACCUUUGGUGAGAA